GGUUAGUUUUACCCUACUGAUGACUCGUCGUUGCGAUAGUAAUCCUGCUCAGUACGAGAGGAACCGCAGGUUCGGACAUUUGGUUGACGCACUUACUCGAGCGGGUAAUGGUGCGAAGCUACCAUCCGUGGGAUUAUGCCUGAACGCCUCUAAGGCCGUAUCCUUUCUAGUCAAAGGUGGCAACGAUAUCUCUUGGAGUUCCGAGAGUCGAAAGGCUCAAAACAAUGUGACUUUACUAGGCAAUCGUAGUUCGCUACGAUUGUCGCACGAGCCCUUAUUUCCGUUGAGAUUAUCGGUUUACGGUGGGAUCGAUCCUUGCCAGUAGACCAGAUCUUUAGACGGACGAACAUGGGUAUUAUAAUCUUUUCGAUGUUGGAACUCGGAAUUGUCUGUAGACGACUUACGUACCUGGCAGGGUGUUGUAC
rnacentral:rRNA from 1 species